rnacentral:rRNA from 1 species
GGUUUUGCUUCGCCUGAAGCGAAACGGAAAGAUGGCGCAAGCUAUCACUUACAGAUGGGCCUGCGGCGCAUUAGCUAGUUGGUGAGGUAACGGCUCACCAAGGCGACGAUGCGUAGCCGACCUGAGAGGGUGACCGGCCACACUGGGACUGAGACACGGCCCAGACUCCUACGGGAGGCAGCAGUAGGGAAUUUUCCACAAUGGACGAAAGUCUGAUGGAGCAACGCCGCGUGAACGAUGAAGGCUUUCGGGUCGUAAAGUUCUGUUGUUAGGGAAGAAACAGUGCUAUUUAAAUAAGGUAGCACCUUGACGGUACCUAACGAGAAAGCCACGGCUAACUACGUGCCAGCAGCCGCGGUAAUACGUAGGUGGCAAGCGUUGUCCGGAAUUAUUGGGCGUAAAGCGCGCGCAGGUGGCUAUGUAAGUCUGAUGUUAAAGCCCGAGGCUCAACCUCGGUUCGCAUUGGAAACUGUGUAGCUUGAGUGCAGGAGAGGAAAGUGGUAUUCCACGUGUAGCGGUGAAAUGCGUAGAGAUGUGGAGGAACACCAGUGGCGAAGGCGACUUUCUGGCCUGUAACUGACACU